CGUAGGGUCCGAGCGUUGUCCGGAAUUAUUGGGGCGUAAAAGAGCUCGUAGGCGGUUUGUCGCGUCUGCUGUGAAAUCCCGAGGCUCAACCUCGGGCCUGCAGUGGGUACGGGGCAGACUGGAGUGCGGUAGGGGAGAAUGGAAUUCCUGGUGUAGCGGUGGAAUGCGCAGAUAUCAGGAGGAACACCGAUGGCGAAGGCAGUUCUCUGGGCCGUAACUGACGCUGAGGAGCGAAAGCGUGGGGGGAGCGAACAGGAUU
rnacentral:rRNA from 1 species